UAGGGAAUAUUGCACAAUGGACGAAAGUCUGAUGCAGCAACUCCGCGUGAGUGAAGAAGGCCCUUGGGUUGUAAAGCUCUUUAGAGUGGAAAGAAGUGGUUUGCAGCGAACAGCUGCAGAUUGUGACGGUACCACUAGAAUAAGCACCGGCUAAUUUCGUGCCAGCAGCCGCGGUAAUACGAAAGGUGCAAGCGUUACUCGGAAUCACUGGGCGUAAAGCGCGCGUAGGCGGUCCUGUAUGUCGAUUGUGAAAGCCCCGGGCUCAACCUGGGAACAGCAGCCGAAACUGCAGGACUUGAAUGUUGGAGAGGGUGGGGGAAUACCUAGUGGAGAAGUGAAAUUCGUAGAGAUUAGGUGGAACACCAGAGGCGAAGGCGCCUGCCUGGCCAAACAUUGACGCUGAGGCGCGAAAGCGUGGGGAGCAAACAG
rnacentral:rRNA from 1 species